rnacentral:rRNA from 1 species
UACGUAGGUGGCAAGCGUUGUCCGGAAUUAUUGGGCGUAAAGCGCGCGCAGGCGGUCCUUUAAGUCUGAUGUGAAAGCCCACGGCUCAACCGUGGAGGGGCAUUGGAAACUGGGGGACUUGAGUGCAGAAGAGGAAAGCGGAAUUCCACGUGUAGCGGUGAAAUGCGCAGAUAUCGGGAGGAACACCAGUAGCGAAGGCGGCUCUCUGGGCCGUUACUGACGCUGAGGAGCGAAAGCGUGGGGAGCGAACAGG